GAUGAAGAACGCAGCGAAAUGCGAUAAGUAAAGUGAAUUGCAGAAUUCAGUGAAUCAUCGAAUCUUUGAACGCACAUUGCGCCCGCCAGUAUUCUGGCGGGCAUGCCUGUUCGAGCGUCAUUUCAACCAUCAAGCCCCCGGCUUGUGUUGGGGACCUGCGGCUGCCGCAGGCCCUGAAAAGCAGUGGCGGGCUCGCUGUCACACCGAGCGUAGUAGCAUACAUCUCGCUCUGGGCGUGCUGCGGGUUCCGGCCGUUAAACCACCUUCAUAACCCAAGGUUGACCUCGGAUCAGGUAGGAAGACCCGCUGAACUUAAGCAUAUCAAUAAGCGGAGGA
rnacentral:misc_RNA from 1 species